UGGGGAAUAUUGCACAAUGGGCGCAAGCCUGAUGCAGCCAUGCCGCGUGUGUGAAGAAGGCCUUCGGGUUGUAAAGCACUUUCAGCGAGGAGGAAGGUGGUGAACUUAAUACGUUCAUCAAUUGACGUUACUCGCAGAAGAAGCACCGGCUAACUCCGUGCCAGCAGCCGCGGUAAUACGGAGGGUGCAAGCGUUAAUCGGAAUUACUGGGCGUAAAGCGCACGCAGGCGGUUUGUUAAGUCAGAUGUGAAAUCCCCGGGCUCAACCUGGGAACUGCAUUUGAAACUGGCAAGCUAGAGUCUCGUAGAGGGGGGUAGAAUUCCAGGUGUAGCGGUGAAAUGCGUAGAGAUCUGGAGGAAUACCGGUGGCGAAGGCGGCCCCCUGGACGAAGACUGACGCUCAGGUGCGAAAGCGUGGGGAGCAAACAGGAUUAGAUACCCCUGGUAGUCCACGCUGUAAACGAUGUCGAUUUUGGAGGUUGUGCCCUUGAGGCGUGGCUUCCGGAGCUAACGCGUUAAAUCGACCGCCUGGGGGAGUAC
rnacentral:rRNA from 1 species